GCAAGUCGAACGGGAAGCCUAAUUUCGAUUAGGUGGAGAGUGGCGCACGGGUGAGUAACACGUAACUUAUCUGCCCUAAAGAGGGGGAUAACGCACCGAAAGGUGUGCUAAUACCCCAUAAGCUCACGAUUUAUAGAUGAUAGUGAGAAAAACCCCGGUGCUUUAGGAUGAGGUUGCGGCCCAUCAGCUAGUUGGUAAGGUAAUGGCUUACCAAGGCGACGACGGGUAGGGGGCCUGAGAGGGUGACC
rnacentral:rRNA from 1 species